AUACUGUAGGAAUGAUUGCAUAGUUUGAUCAUAUCCAAUGAAGCGUGGGUUAUCACAAGACUCCGUAAAGGAAAAAUAUGAUGUCACUUUAUAUAUUAGAAUGCAAAGUCUGUGCCAGAAGACUCGGUAAGGCCAGAGACGCUAGCGUUAAUCAUCUUGAACAGGCGUAAAGGGUUUAGGCGGCUUUAAAAAAAUUAAAGCUAGAAUCUGAUAGAGGUCACUUUACAGAGAAUACUUAGAGGAGGGCUGACAUCUGUAGAUCCUAAGUAGAAUUCUAAUAGCGAAGGCUCUUUUCCAAAUAAAGAUUGACGCUGAGACACGAAGGGGAGGAAAGACAAUAGGAUUAGAUACCCUGGCAUCCCUCCCUGUCAACGAUGAAUGGUAGUUGUUAGUUCUAUAAGCUAGUGACGAUGUUAACACGUUAACCAUUCCGCCUUGUGAGUA
rnacentral:rRNA from 1 species